AUGCUGCGGGCAUGGCAGGUACAACCGGAGACUCCAUGGGCGCAACCACAGGAGCAGGCAGGGGAAGCACACCUGGAGCGUCAGGCACUGGAGCCACCAGCCCUGGGAACCCAGCAGGAACAACUGGAGGAGUGGAUGCAGCCACCACUGGAACUGCUGGUGAAAAUACAUCUGGGAGAACAGGUACUGGAGGAGCAAAACCAUCAUGACGCUGUCCUGUAG
rnacentral:lncRNA from 1 species